rnacentral:rRNA from 1 species
GAUGAACGCUGGCGGCGUGCCUAAUACAUGCAAGUCGAGCGAACAGAUGAGGAGCUUGCUCCUCUGACGUUAGCGGCGGACGGGUGAGUAACACGUGGAUAACCUACCUAUAAGACUGGGAUAACUUCGGGAAACCGGAGCUAAUACCGGAUAAUAUAUUGAACCGCAUGGUUCAAUAGUGAAAGACGGUUUUGCUGUCACUUAUAGAUGGAUCCGCGCCGCAUUAGCUAGUUGGUAAGGUAACGGCUUACCAAGGCAACGAUGCGUAGCCGACCUGAGAGGGUGACCGGCCACACUGGAACUGAGACCCGGUCCAGACUCCUACGGGAGGCAGCAGUAGGGAAUCUUCCGCAAUGGGCGAAAGCCUGACGGAGCAACGCCGCGUGAGUGAUGAAGGUCUUCGGAUCGUAAAACUCUGUUAUUAGGGAAGAACAAAUGUGUAAGUAACUAUGCACGUCUUGACGGUACCUAAUCAGAAAGCCACGGCUAACUACGUG